GAGUUUGAUCAUGGCUCAGAUUGAACGCUGGCGGCAGGCCUAACACAUGCAAGUCGAGCGGAUGACAGGAGCUUGCUCCUGAAUUCAGCGGCGGACGGGUGAGUAAUGCCUAGGAAUCUGCCUGGUAGUGGGGGACAACGUUUCGAAAGGAACGCUAAUACCGCAUACGUCCUACGGGAGAAAGCAGGGGACCUUCGGGCCUUGCGCUAUCAGAUGAGCCUAGGUCGGAUUAGCUAGUUGGUGAGGUAAUGGCUCACCAAGGCGACGAUCCGUAACUGGUCUGAGGGGAUGAUCAGUCACACUGGAACUGAGACACGGUCCAGACUCCUACGGGAGGCAGCAGUGGGGAAUAUUGGACAAUGGGCGAAAGCCUGAUCCAGCCAUGCCGCGUGUGUGAAGAAGGUCUUCGGAUUGUAAAGCACUUUAAGUUGGGAGGAAGGGCAUUAACCUAAUACGUUAGUGUUUUGACGUUACCGACAGAAUAAGCACCGGCUAACUCUGUGCCAGCAGCCGCGGUAAUACAGAGGGUGCAAGCGUUAAUCGGAAUUACUGGGCGUAAAGCGCGCGUAGGUGGUUUGUUAAGUUGGAUGUGAAAUCCCCGGGC
rnacentral:rRNA from 1 species